rnacentral:rRNA from 1 species
GUGCGAAGGUAGCAUAAUCACUUGUUCUUUAAAUGAGGACUCGUAUCAACGGCACUACGAGGGCUAUACUGUCUCCUUUUUCUAAUCAGUGAAACUGAUCUCCCCGUGAAGAAGCGGGGAUCAAAAUAUAAGACGAGAAGACCCCAUGGAGCUUUAAACUCAUCACGCACCUCUGUGCCCCCAUACCCUCAAACACAAGAGAUCUGCGUGCUAGUUUUAGGUUGGGGGGACCACGGAGUAUAACUUAACCUCCAUAACAAAUGGGCUAACACCCUUAUCCAUGAGACACAGCUCUAAGAAUUACUAAACUAAUGCUUAUGACCCGAUAUUCGAUCAAUGAACCAAGUUACCCUGGGGAUAACAGCGCAAUCUACUUCAAGAGCCCAUAUCGACAAGUAGGUUUACGACCUCGAUGUUGGAUCAGGGUAU